rnacentral:tRNA from 1 species
GGUGUUAUAAUUUAAUGGGAAAAAUAGUUAGAUGUCAUCUAACUUAUACAAGUUCGAGUCUUGUUAACCCCG